GCAGGGCAACGACCUGUGGUACGGCCCCGACCGCGUCAAGUACCUCGGCCCCUUCUCCGCCCAGACGCCCUCCUACCUCACCGGCGAGUUCCCCGGCGACUACGGCUGGGACACGGCCGGGCUCUCCGCCGACCCGGAGGCGUUCGCGCGCAACAGGGCGCUGGAGGUGAUCCACGGGCGGUGGGCGAUGCUGGGCGCGCUGGGAUGCAUCACCCCGGAGGUGCUCGAGAAGUGGGUGCGCGUGGACUUCAAGGAGCCCGUCUGGUUCAAGGCCGGCGCGCAGAUCUUCUCCGAGGGCGGGCUCGACUACCUGGGCAACCCCAACCUGGUGCACGCGCAGAGCAUCCUCGCCGUGCUCGGAUUCCAGGUCAUCCUCAUGGGCCUCGUCGAGGGCUUCCGCAUCAACGGCCUCGACGGCGUCGGCGAGGGCAACAACCUCUACCCCGGCGGCCAGUACUUCGACCCCCUGGGCCUCGCCGACGACCCCGUCACCUUCGCCGAGCUCAAGGUCAAGGAGAUCAAGAACGGCCGCCUCGCCAUGUUCUCCAUGUUCGGAUUCUUCGUGCAGGCCAUCGUCACCGGCAAGGGCCCCCUCGAGAACCUGCUCGACCACCUCGACGACCCCGUCGCCAACAACGCCUGGGUCUACGCCACCAAGUUCGCGCCCGGGUCUUAAGCUAGACGGCGGCCUCUUCGUGCCGGACCACCAUUGUAGACUACUCGAUUGUACCACCACCAAUGAAUGCAAAUAUUGCCAUCUCACGAUUCAGGAUUGUACUGUAGGAGUUUUGGGGUUUGCAUUAUGCUCUCUGUCAGUUGUGACUUGUGUGCUCUUGAAACCGAUAUUGUGCAAUUUAUGAUCCAUAUAUGCAGCUGCUGCUUUGCAUUUCGGUUCCUGUUUUGAGUUGACUUUCAGAGCACUGCUAAUCAGAUAAACAAAUUUC
rnacentral:lncRNA from 1 species